rnacentral:rRNA from 1 species
GAUGAACGCUAGCUACAGGCUUAACACAUGCAAGUCGAGGGACGGGCGCACGGGUGAGUAACACGUAUCCAACCUUCCCUUUACUCGGAGAUAGCCUUUCGAAAGAAAGAUUAAUACCCGAUAUAAAGGAUGGGGAUGCGUUCCAUUAGGUUGUUGGUGAGGUACCGGCUCACCAAGCCUUCGAUGGUUAGGGGUUCGGAGAGGAAGUUCCCCCACAUCUGAACUGCGACCCGGUCCAAACUCCUACGGGAGGCAGCAGUAAGGAAUAUUUGGCAAUGGGCGCUAGCCUGACCCAGCCAAGUAGCGUGAAGGAUGAAGGCUUAUUGGUCGUAAACUUCUUUUAUAUAAGAAUAUGUAUUAUAUGAAUAAGGAUCGGCUAACUCCGUGCCAGCAGCCGCGGUAAUAC